rnacentral:rRNA from 1 species
GGAAAAAAAGCUUGAUAGGAAAUGAUUAAGCCUUGAUUGUACUAAAUGAAUAAGUGACAGCUAACUAUGUGCCAGCAGCUGCGGUAAAACAUAGGUCACGAGCAUUAUCCGGAUUUAUUGGGCGUAAAGGAAGCGUAGGCGGACAAAUUGAUCUAUUGUUAAAGGCACUUGCUCAACGAGUUGUUUGUGAUAGAUAUCGUUUGUCUAGAAUUAGUUAGGAGAUACUGGAAUUCAAUGUGUAGCGGUGGAAUGCGUAGAUAUAUUGAGGAACACCGGAGGCUAAGGCGAGUAUCUAGGACAUAAUUGACGCUGAGGCUUGAAAGCGUGGGGAGCAAAUGGGAUUAGAUACCCCAGUAGUCCACGCCGUAAACGAUGGGUAUUAGGUAUUUGGUCUAGGACUGAGUGCUGUAGCUAACGCGUUAAAUACCCCGCCUGGGUAGUAUAUAUGCAAAUAUGAAACUCAAAGAAAUUGACGGGGACCUGA